rnacentral:rRNA from 1 species
CGGGCGUUCCCCGUUCGGGGGACAGGGUGACAGGUGGUGCAUGGUUGUCGUCAGCUCGUGUCGUGAGAUGUUGGGUUAAGUCCCGCAACGAGCGCAACCCUCGACCUUAGUUGCCAGCAUUCAGUUGGGCACUCUAAAGAGACUGCCGGUGUCAAACCGGAGGAAGGUGGGGAUGACGUCAAGUCCUCAUGGCCUUUAUGACCAGGGCUACACACGUACUACAAUGGCCGGUACAAAGGGCAGCCACUUAGCGAUAAGGAGCCAAUCCCGUAAAGCCGGUCUCAGUCCGGAUUGGAGUCUGCAACUCGACUCCAUGAAGUUGGAAUCGCUAGUAAUCGCAGAUCAGCACGCUGCGGUGAAUACGUUCCCGGGCCUU